UGGUGGGUAGUUUGACUGGGGCGGUCUCCUCCCAAAGAGUAACGGAGGAGCACGAAGGUUAGCUAAUCCUGGUCGGACAUCAGGAGGUUAGUGCAAUGGCAUAAGCUAGCUUGACUGCGAGAGUGACGGCUCGAGCAGGUGCGAAAGCAGGUCAUAGUGAUCCGGUGGUUCUGAAUGGAAGGGCCAUCGCUCAACGGAUAAAAGGUACUCCGGGGAUAACAGGCUGAUACCGCCCAAGAGUUCAUAUCGACGGCGGUGUUUGGCACCUCGAUGUCGGCUCAUCACAUCCUGGGGCUGAAGUAGGUCCCAAGGGUAUGGCUGUUCGCCAUUUAAAGUGGUACGCGAGCUGGGUUUAGAACGUCGUGAGACAGUUCGGUCCCUAUCUGCCGUGGGCGCUGGAGAAUUGAGGGGGGCUGCUCCUAGUACGAGAGGACCGGAGUGGACGCAUCACUGGUGUUCGGGUUGUCAUGCCAAUGGCACUGCCCGGUAGCUAAAUGCGGAAAAGAUAAGUGCUGAAAGCAUCUAAGCACGAAACUUGCC
rnacentral:rRNA from 2 species